UGUGAUAAUAUUAUCUAAUAAAAUAUUGCACUUAUAUUGUAUAAUCAUGAGAAUUGAGAGCGGAGUAUCAGAUUUUUAGGUUCGUAAAAAUUAAAAAUUUUUAAACCAUAAAAUGCAAGAUUUUCAAGGAAGAAAUUUGUGUUCAAGAGCGUUCAAGAAGUUACAUGUGCUAUAUACAAGCGUAUCGGACUCAGACUUCGAUACGAGCCGUUCGCUCAAUGGAUUUUAUCAUGAUUUUUUAAUGGAAAUCAGUGAUAUAAAUAUUGAGUCUGUGGAAGAUGGAUGACUUGUGAUGUUGAAAGUCUAAAAGAUUCACAUGUGAUUCAUCCAGAGGAAUGUAUUAAAGUUCUUAAAGUAAUUGAUUUUAAAAUGGAGAGCUGAACUCGCUAAGUAAAAUCUAUGAAUAAACCAUAAAUUAUUAAAUUCAAUAACAUAGUAGUAAAUUACAGCUAUCACAAUAUAAAUUGAUGUAAAACAUAAAACAUAUUUUUGUAUUUAACUAAAUUUGUUAAAUAUAAUAUAAUGAAUCAAUUUCAAGCUUUAAGUAACAUCUUCUAAAAUGAUAUUUGCACACGGCGCUUUUUUGGUUUAGUUGGUACUCAGUAAGAUUCACAAACAACAGAAGUUAAGUUUAAUUUUUUCAAAACUUUUAAUUUCACAGAGGCAGUGCAAUUUGAAUCACCGUUGGAAGUCUUACAAGGUUAUAAUACCUCCAACAAAGAACUGAACGUGGACACAAAGUGGAAUUUCAAGGCGAUAGAUUGGACAACAUGUUCAAACAUCUUAAUGUGUGUUCUUUGAUACAUCUCCUUUAGUAUCACAAGUCCAUUGCACAUAUUUUUAGUGAAGGCAGAUACUCCAAAACUCAAAAGCCACGAAGUGAACAAAAAACAUUAUAGAGUGAUGGAUGAAAGAUUAGCAGAAAAAUGUGGUGACAUCACAUUCAAUUAAGUCACUAUCAGUACCAAUGCUGAUAUAGGAAUCAAUACUUUUGAAGUAGUCAGUAAUUUUAGCAGUAAUACCAUUGUCAACAAAUUCAAUAUAAAUCUUCAGCAUCGUCAUUUUAAUCAGCCAAUAUAAAUGUAUAAUAAUACAUACCUAUCUAAACUAUUCUAAAUAGUAUAUCCUCGUAAUAUUUAAUAUAAUAUUUUUGUUACAAAUUUCUCUUGUAUGGUUGUAUGUCUAUAAUUUUGAUUUCAACAAUACAAUAUCUUAAGUAUACAAGCUAAUACACUUUUUUUUUGUUAUUUUCUUUAAUUCGGACAAUCUAGAGCCCCAAUUAGUCCGGAUUAAUGAGAUUUUACUGUACAUAUAUAUUAUAUUAUUUAAUAAAUAAUAACACAUGAUCAUUGAUAAAACACACUAUAUAACAUCAACAGAAACAGAAUAUUAGUAAUAAUAUAAUUAUUAAUUAAUUAAUAUUUAUGAUUUAUAAAUUCAAAACUAACCCAUAACUUAAGCAACGUAUACUGGCAAUUUUAUUGUUUUUACUGUAAUUCAAUAAAUUUAAAUAUAAUAGUUUCUAUGUUUUAUACAUAAAAAAUAAUCUUAAUAUGAUAAUUAAGUUAAAUGACACAAAACAAAACAAAAAACAUUAAAAAAUGUAUUUAAAUUGAGUAAUCACUUCAUAUAUGUCUAAUUUGGUUGAUAUUUAACUGUUUUUGUAUUUUUGUAUUUUUUUUUUUUGUUUUCAUUAAUUUCUUUUUUUUUGCUCAGUAGUUCCUUGAUUACGUGUUCACUAUUUCAAUUUCAUUCUCUAUAUACUGUAUCAUUAUUACACUACCUACUCCUAGUAUAGUAUCUUAAUUAUGUAUAUCUUCAUAAAUCAUAAUACAACAUACAUCUGAGUAGGUCCUCUACCAUUUUUAUAUUCAUGUAAGAUCUAGGACAGUAUUUUAUCUAUUUAAAUAAUUUAUAAGGCUAGAUUAGGCCUAUAUAACUAGACUUUGUGUGAAAAAUAAGUUGGACCUUUAUUUUUAUAUUCAAAGAUAAGUUAUUACAAAUUAAAAACGAUUCAAAGCAGAUACUGUCAUUCUUUAUUACUGAAUAGGUAGUUAAUUGAUUAUAAUAAUAUAUACUUAUGUUGCUAUUAAUUAUUAUAAUAGUAAUUAUUUAUG